UAAAGCUCAUGAAAGGAUGAAAAAACAGGGAAACAUUCAAGCUUUUACUAUUGGUAAAGUAGCAGCUAGCAAGUCCUUACGUCAGCUGAGCACACUACAGUGAGCACUGUCAAUAAUUCAUUUUAUUCUCCAGCUAAUCAAGAAACGCAGCCCUUGAUAUCUGAGUCAUUGCUCCACAUCCUGCCCCGCUUCAGCACUUCCUCAUUCAAGGCAGAAGUUCCUUGCAGCAGCACAUUUCAAUCUCAGCACAUUCAGGCAGGAUACCGAGAGAUCCCACACUGCCUUCCCUCCCGCUCAGGACAAGGAGUCUAGAGCCAGCCACCCCUGUGGAAGCUGAACAUUCCUAAACAUACACAGAAGGUGGCAAUCCAGUCCAGGUGGCAAGACACUGCAGACACAUGUCAAUGGCCAGAGCUUUGUUUCAACAGGGCUCUGCUUCUCUUGGCCUGGGAGAGGAGCUCAGAUCAGGCUGCGUGGGCACACUCGAGUGCUCAGCCCUAGCCCGAGGCAUCCAUACCACCUAUGGUGGUUAGCAGAGGCAUACCAGAACUCCCACUGGCUUGAGUUUUUCACUGUGUUUGUUGCUGGGAGGAGAAAUGAGAAGCUGUUUUUGAUGGUGGAGUUUUUGGUUUUGUUUCCUUCCUGCUCACCUAGAGUACUGAACAAAGCUAUAGC
rnacentral:lncRNA from 1 species